ACCAAGUGGACACGUGCAGCAGUCCGAGUCUAGACACUUUAAUGUGAACACAGAUCAGUACACUGCAGGUAGCACAGGUAGCAUACAGAGAAACAUCCCAAAUGAAGCUGCUGGACUCCAUUCACAUACAGUGUAUGAUAAAAAAAAAAAAAAAACACUUUUGUUUUUAAUGGCAGGAUGUCUGCUGCGGGCCUGAUGUCUCGAUACUGGUUCAGGAAGUCAACGACAGACGACAUUUUACCUCGCUGAUCGAGAGCAGCAUGUGGUUGUUAAGAGACCCGAGGCACGGUGAGCGUUGGUUAUUUAACACGAGGCGAGUCCCUGUGUGCGUCUGAGGAGGAUGGGAAUGUGUCCUCAGGUGCUGGAAGGACAUUAAUACGACCUGGACUUUUAUUUACAGAUGUAGCUCUAAAGAGAGAUGCUAAUAUAAAAGGAGACUACAAGUACUUGUAGGUGUGAAUCCUUUACAAAUAAGACCUGAAAUAAAGGUGUUAAACUCCUUAGUCCUGACGCCCUGUCCAUGUAUUACAAAGUAUGGUUAUAAAAACAGGCUCACGUGAUGGUCUGGAAAAUGUAAUCAGAAGGCAACUUGCUCAACUUGGUUAUUUAUUUGUUUAAUUAUUUCUAUAAGGCCACGUGGCUGCGAUAAAAACACCCUGAUCCAAAGAGGAGCAACACAAAUCGAGGGGGGGGGUUACAAGAGCUCAGAGGUAAUUUUGUCCCCCCCCCCACUGCCUCAGUCCUCUCUGCAGACUCCGUAGGGGCCCUUUAAAGAGGUGGCCUUAAUUCCAAAUAAUUUACCAAAGACUCUGGUGCAAAUAAUCUGCUCAAAGGCUUAAGGAGGGCUGCGUCCAAGAGUCGUCUCCAGCAUCGAUUGCUCAACGAGCGCACAGUGGCCACAUACAGUACAAACAGCUCCCAGUACAAUGCUUCCAAAAAAGGCAAAUCACGGUAAUCAUACAAAAAGCAUCUGAAAUGUAGAGAAGGAUGAAAAAAAAAGAAAAAAGAAAAAGAGGGAGAAGGAAAAAGCAGCAAAGAACUCUCAAAAUGUCAUUACUUUUCUCGAGAGCAAUUAACAGAUUUUUUUUUUUUCCUUGUUUUUCUUUUAUAAACAAACAAAAAAAUUAUUGAAACAAAAAUGCGGAUUGUGCAUGAUGUUCGCUUUCUCCGUUUUAAAAGAUGUAAUACUUAACAGAAGGGCGGCUGCAAACACAAGAAGCGUUAACGAUGGCCGGGAAUGAUGAAGUGAUUGGAAUUCAAAUGAAACUGUAGAGGAGUGGGGGUGGGGGUGAAGGGGGGUGGGGGGGCGCUGGACGGAGAGAGCAAAAAGCUUGAAUCAAAACAUAAUCCAGAAGUGGCUCCGGACAGAAAAGAAACAAUGGAAUGACAGCAGGAGAGAGAGAAAGAAAGAGAGAGGGAGAGAGAGAGAGA